AGUGAACGCUGGCGGCGUGCCUAAUACAUGCAAGUCGAACGAAGUGGCGCACGGGUGAGUAAUAUAUAGUUAAUCGGCCCUACACAGAGGAACAACAGUUGGAAACGACUGCUAAUACCCCAUAGUGUAGGAUGAGACUAUAUCGUAUCAGCUAGUUGGUGAGGUAAUGGCUUACCAAGGCUAUGACGCGUAACUGGUCUGAGAGGAUGAGCAGUCACCUUGUAACUGAGACACGGUCCAGACUCCUUCGGGAAGCAGCGGUAAGGAAUAGUGCGCAAUGGGGGAGACCGUGACGGGGCAUCGCCGCGUGAAAUAUUGCUCUUUGCGAAGCAUAGACUCCUUAUUUCAGGAAAACGGUACCUGAUGAAGAAGCACCGGCUAACUCCGUGCCAGCAGCCGCGGUAAUAC
rnacentral:rRNA from 1 species